rnacentral:rRNA from 1 species
UUUUGGCUGACGCGGAGGGACAUUACAGAGUUGCAAAACUCCCUAAACCAUUGUGAACGUUACCUAUACCGUUGCUUCGGCGGGCGGCCCCGGGGUUUACCCCCCGGGCGCCCCUGGGCCCCACCGCGGGCGCCCGCCGGAGGUCACCAAACUCUUGAUAAUUUAUGGCCUCUCUGAGUCUUCUGUACUGAAUAAGUCAAAACUUUCAACAACGGAUCUCUUGGUUCUGGCAUCGAUGAAGAACGCAGCGAAAUGCGAUAAGUAAUGUGAAUUGCAGAAUUCAGUGAAUCAUCGAAUCUUUGAACGCACAUUGCGCCCGCCAGCAUUCUGGCGGGCAUGCCUGUUCGAGCGUCAUUUCAACCAUCAAGCCCCCGGGCUUGUGUUGGGGACCUGCGGCUGCCGCAGGCCCUGAAAAGCAGUGGCGGGCUCGCUGUCGCACCGAGCGUAGUAGCAUACAUCUCGCUCUGGUCGCGCCGCGGGUUCCGGCCGUUAAACCACCUUUUAACCCAAGGUUGACCUCGGAUCAGGUAGGAAGACCCGCUGAACUUAAGCAUACAAA